AUUGAACGCUGGCGGCAGGCCUAACACAUGCAAGUCGAGCGGAGCGGCUGACGGGUGGGUAAUGCCUAUGUAUGUGACUGGUCGUUGGGGAUAACUUCCGGAAACGGGCGCUAAUACAGACUACUUUCCAUUGAACCUAGGCGGGAUUAGCUAGUUGGUGGGGUAAAGGCCUACCAAGGCGACGAUCCGUAACUGGUCUGAGAGGAUGACCAGUCACACUGGAACUGAGACACGGUCCAGACUCCUACGGGAGGCAGCAGUGGGGAAUAUUGGACAAUGGGCGAAAGCCUGAUCCAGCCAUGCCGCGUGUGUGAAGAAGGUCUUCGGAUUGUAAAGCACUUUAAGUUGGGAGGCGUUACCAACAGAAUAAGCACCGGCUAACUUCGUGCCAGCAGCCGCGGUAAUAC
rnacentral:rRNA from 1 species